UACGAAGGGUGCAGGCGUUAUUCGGAAUCAUUGGGCGUAAAGCGCGCGCAGGCGGAUUGAUAAGUCAGGUGUGAAAUCUCGAGGCUCAACCUCGAAACUGCGCCUGAAACUAUUAGUCUAGAGUGUCGGAGGGGGUAGGGGAAUUUCACGUGUAGGGGUAAAAUCCGUAGAGAUGUGAAGGAACACCGGAGGCGAAGGCGCCUACCUGGACGACUACUGACGCUGAGGCGCGAAAGCGUGGGGAGCAAACAGG
rnacentral:rRNA from 1 species